UACGUAGGGGGCUAGCGUUGUCCGGAUUUAUUGGGCGUAAAGAGCGUGUAGGCGGCCAAGUAGGUCCGUUGUGAAAACUGGAGGCUUAACCUCCAGCUGUCGAUGGAAACCAUUUGGCUAGAGUCCGGAAGAGGAGAGUGGAAUUCCCGGUGUAGCGGUGAAAUGCGCAGAUAUCGGGAGGAACACCCAUGGCGAAGGCAGCAAACUGGUCAUCAACUGACGCUGAGGCGCGAAAGCGUGGGUAGCAAACAGG
rnacentral:rRNA from 1 species